rnacentral:rRNA from 1 species
GUGACCACAGUCAGGCGGGC